rnacentral:rRNA from 1 species
AUUGAACGCUGGCGGCAGGCUUAACACAUGCAAGUCGAACGAGUGGCGGACGGGUGAGUAAUGUCUGGGAACCUGCCUUAUGGAGGGGGAUAACUACUGGAAACAGUAGCUAAUACCGCAUACCAUCGGAUGAGCCCAGAUGGGAUUAGCUAGUUGGUGGGGUAAAGGCUCACCAAGGCGACGAUCCCUAGCUGGUCUGAGAGGAGGACCAGCCACACUGGGAAUGAGACACGGCCCAGACUCCUACGGGAGGCAGCAGUGGGGAAUAUUGCACAAUGGGGGCAACCCUGAUGCAGCCAUGCCGCGUGUAUGAAGAAGGCCUUCGGGUUGUAAAGUACUUUCGGGAGGGAGGCGGUACCUACAGAAGAAGCACCGGCUAACUCCGUGCCAGCAGCCGCGGUAAUAC